rnacentral:rRNA from 1 species
UACAGAGGGUGCGAGCGUUAAUCGGAAUUACUGGGCGUAAAGCGCGCGUAGGCGGUUUUGUAAGUCAGAUGUGGAAUCCCUGGGCUCAACCUGGGAACUGCAUUUGAAACUGCAUGGCUAGAGUAUGGAAGAGGGAAGUGGAAUUUCCGGUGUAGCGGUGAAAUGCGUAGAUAUCGGAAGGAACACCAGUGGCGAAAGCGAUUUCCUGGUCCAAUACUGACGUUCAGGUGCGAAAGCCAGGGGAGCGAACGGG